GCGUGACAUUAGCUAGUUGGUAAGGUAACGACUUACCAAGGCAACGAUGUCUAGGGGUUCUGAGAGGAUGAUCCCCCACACUGGUACUGAGACACGGACCAGACUCCUACGGGAGGCAGCAGUGAGGAAUAUUGGUCAAUGGGCGCAAGCCUGAACCAGCCAUCCCGCGUGAAGGAUGACGGCCCUAUGGGUUGUAAACUUCUUUUAUACAGGAAGAAAAAUCCCUACGUGUAGGGACUUGCCGGUACUGUAUGAAUAAGCAUCGGCUAACUCCGUGCCAGCAGCCGCGGUAAUACGGAGGAUGCAAGCGUUAUCCGGAUUCAUUGGGUUUAAAGGGUGCGUAGGCGGCUUUUUAAGUCAGUGGUGAAAUCUUGCCGCUUAACGGUAAAAUUGCCAUUGAUACUGAAGAGCUUGAGUACAAUUGAGGUAAGCGGAAUGUGUAGUGUAGCGGUGAAAUGCUUAGAUAUUACACAGAACACCAAUUGCGAAGGCAGCUUACUAAACUGUUACUGACGCUGAUGCACGAAAGCGUGGGGAGCGAACAGGAUUAGAUACCCUGGUAGUCCACGCCGUAAACGAUGAUCACUCGCUGUAUGCGAUACACCAGUAGCGGCCUAGCGAAACCAUUAA
rnacentral:rRNA from 1 species